UACGGGGGGGGGCAAGCGUUGUUCGGAAUUACUGGGCGUAAAGGGCUCGUAGGUGGCCAACUAAGUCAGACGUGAAAUCCCUCGGCUUAACCGGGGAACUGCGUCUGAUACUGGAUGGCUAGAGAUUGGGAGAGGGAUGCGGAAUUCCAGGUGUAGCGGUGAAAUGCGUAGAUAUCUGGAGGAACACCGGUGGCGAAGGCGGCAUCCUGGACCAACACUGACGCUGAGGAGCGAAAGCAUGGGGAGCGAACAGG
rnacentral:rRNA from 1 species